UUUCCCUCUAAUUAUUUUAUGCCUAAACAAAGCUUUCUUUUCCUAUUAAAGAGACGAAACCCUAAAAAACUAAUCACUCAAAAGAAAGAAAAAGAAAGGUGCCAUCACCAAUCUUCAAAUUUCUCGACUCCAUAACUAGGCCUUUUAGCCUCAACUUCAACUAAUCUCUUUUAUGAUCCAGAAUUGAAUACGCCUGCCUAUGAAUAUUUGUACCCAAAAACUUGUUUCAUCUUUUACGACCCACAUGGGUUAGGAAACGUGGACAGAUUUUUUGUUUAGCCAUGGGCAUGGAGUUGCUGAUCAGGAAGAGGUAAUAUUCUCGUUCUUGUAUAUUUUGUUUUUUACUUCUUGUCCAAUGCACAAUUUUGUUAAUACAUAGUAUUAACUUUUGUUCUUGAAUUGUAUGUUUAGUUUUUAUAUAAUUUUAUGUAUCUUAGAAUUAUUUUAUAAUUCAAAUUAUGCUUGCAACUCAAGGUCAACAAUCAAAUGACGCAAAUCCAACACUUUUGGAUGAGUGAUGAAAGCAUCAAAAUCGACGGGAACAUGAAUAAUCAUUCUUUUUUCUUGUAAAUAUAUCGAUAUGUUUGAGUAGAAUGAUGUUUCACUAUUUUAAAUAAUAUUGCUGAACCUUUAUUAA